UACGUAGGGCGCGAGCGUUGUCCGGAAUUAUUGGGCGUAAAGAGCUCGUAGGCGGCCUGUUGCGUCUGCUGUGAAAUCCCGGGGAUUAACCCCGGGCGUGCAGUGGAUACGGGCAGGCUGGAGGCAGGCAGGGGAGAAUGGAAUUCCCGGUGUAGCGGUGAAAUGCGCAGAUAUCGGGAGGAACACCGGUGGCGAAGGCGGUUCUCUGGGCCUGUUCUGACGCUGAGGAGCGAAAGCGUGGGGAGCGAACAGG
rnacentral:rRNA from 1 species